UACGUAGGGAGCAAGCGUUGUCCGGAAUCAUUGGGCGUAAAGCGCGCGUAGGCGGCCCUGUAAGUCCGUUGUGAAAGUCAAAGGCUCAACCUUUGAAAGCCGAUGGAUACUGCAGGGCUAGAGUCCGGAAGAGGAGAGUGGAAUUCCCGGUGUAGCGGUGAAAUGCGCAGAUAUCGGGAGGAACACCAAUUGCGAAGGCAGCUCGCUGGGACGUGACUGACGCUGAGACGCGAAAGCGUGGGGAGCAAACAGG
rnacentral:rRNA from 1 species